AGAGGCAGGGAGGGCUUAAUUCGGGGCUCCGGUGGCGGGCCUCGCCGGCCGUGUGCUCCGGCGGCGAACUCGGGCGAUCGAUCUCGCCACGGUAAUGACGUACGGCGCUCCGAGGUCCAGCGCUCCAUCCCCUCGCCACCAUUCCCCACCUCGGCGCCACGCCCGGCGACAGAUCCGCAUCCGCCGACGCCGGGCAGGAGAACUCCAGCCUUCAGGUUCAGGGAAUGAUGGGGUCAAUGGCAAGUAUUGCUCCAAGUGCCAGGUCAACUACAGCGAUGGGACUUGAAGAUCAUGCCAACAACUUUUCCUCGCCGUCGACGGCCACCGCGUGCAAGGAGGGAGACGCGCUGAACUCUCCUCCCUGCCGGCACUCCCGCCGCCCGCCGCCAUCUCUGCCUGGCUUCCCCUUCACAGUGGCUGCGCCGUUCGCUUCCUUCCCCAGAGGCCACGGCCUCCUCCUCACAGAACUGCCUCCUCUAUGGAUGAUGAUUUGGGCUAUGUCAAGAUUAUUAGGACGAGAAGUAAGAUGAGCUUGCUAUUGUCAAGAUGAUUGGGGCUUUGCUAGGCACAAGUGCCUCUUGUUGGAAUUUGUCCAUCUGUAGGAGAAUCUCCGUUGUCACCGGAUCCAACGAACCAAGGCCAGAAUGUAGAUUUUCACCUUGAAGAGCAGUCCGAGCAUAUCCGAGCAAUGCCUUCAACAAGAAUGGAUGCAAGUUUUGGUAUUGGGAAGAAGAGUACAUCGAUAUAUUGAU